rnacentral:misc_RNA from 1 species
UGGCUCACGCAUCGAUGAAGAACGCAGCGAAAUGCGAUAAGUAAUGUGAAUUGCAGAUUUCAGUGAAUCAUCGAAUCUUUGAACGCACCUUGCACCCUUUGGUAUUCCGAAGGGUAUGCCUGUUUGAGUGUCAUUUAACUCUUCAACCUCCAGGCUUUAUUGUCCUUUGGAGGCUUGGAUGUGGGAGUCUGCGGGCUGCGACAAGCGGUCGGCUCUCCUGAAAUGCAUUAGCUGGGGUUAAGGUCCUUGCCUAUUGGUGUGAUAAUUAUCAUCGCCGACGGGUCCAAGGCUUUGAAAGCCCUGCUUCCAAUCGUCUUCGGACAGCUUCACUAUUGAAGCUUCUAUUGACCAUUGUGACCUCAAAUCAGGUAGGAUUACCCGCUGA